GACCCGACUGCUUUCGGAUUAGGACUAAGCCAUGCGAGUUGAACGCUCUUUGACUAUGUUAAGAGCGUGGCAAACUGCUCAGUAACACGUUGCCAACCUACCCUAAAGAUAUGAAUAACCCCGGGAAACUGGGAUUAAUGCGUUAUAAGUCAGGAAUCCUGGAAUGGAUCUUGACUAAAAGAAUUGAAGAGCAUGUUCAUCGGUUCGCUCUAGGAUGGGGCCGCGUCCGAUCAGGUUGUUGGUGGGGUAAAGGCCCACCAAGCCUAUAACCGGUACGGGCUUUGAGAGAAGUAGCCCGGAGAUGGACCCUGAGACACAGGUCCAGGCCCUACGGGGCGCAGCAGGCGCGAAAACUUCGCAAUGCGCGCAAGCGUGAUGAGGCUAAUCCGAGUGUUACCUGCUGAAGGUAACUUUUGUUAAGUUUAAUUCGCUUAAAGAAAAAAGGGAGGGCAAGCCUGGUGUCAGCCGCCGCGGUAAUACCAGCUCCCUGAGUGGUCGGGGUGUUUAUUGGGCCUAAAGCAUCCGUAGCUUGUUUUAUGAGUCUUUCGUUAAAUCUGACGGUUUAACCGUUAGGCUGCGUAAGAUACCGUAAAACUAGGAGGCGGGAGAGGCUGAUGGUACUCCAAGGGUAGGGGUAAAAUCCACUGAUCCAUGGAAGACCACCAAUGGCGAAGGCGGUCAGCCAGAACGCGCUCGACGGUGAGGGAUGAAAGCUGGGGGAGCGAACCGGAUUAGAUACCCGGGUAGUCCCAGCUGUAAACGAUGCGAGCUAGGUGAUGGAGUGAUUAUGUAUUACUUCAGUGCCACAGGGAAGCCGUUAAGCUCGCCGCCUGGGGAGUACGAUCGCAAGAUUGGAACUUAAAGGAAUUGGCGGGGGAGCACCACAAGGGGUGAAGCCUGCGGUUCAAUUGGAUUCAACGC
rnacentral:rRNA from 1 species